rnacentral:tRNA from 1 species
GAGGGUAUAGCUCAGUGGUAGAGUGCCUGCCUAGCAUGCAUGAGGUCCUGGGUUCAAUCCCCAGUACCUCCA